GAUUAACGCUGGCGGCGUGCAUCAAACAUGCAAGUCGAGCGCGGUGCAAUGGCUUCGGUUAUUGCAUCUAGCGGCGCACGGGUGAGUAACACGUGAGUAAUCUGCCAUUGAGUUCGGGAUAGCCCUGAGAAAUCAGGAUUAAUACCGGAUGUGGUCACUUGUAGGCAUCUAUGAGUGAGUAAAGGCGCAAGCCGCUCAUUGAUGAGCUCGCGGCUUAUUAGCUUGUUGGUGGGGUAAUGGCCUACCAAGGCUUUGAUGAGUAGCUGAUCUGAGAGGA
rnacentral:rRNA from 1 species